UCCACUGAACCUUUUCAUUUAGAGGAAGGAGAAGUCGUAACAAGGUUUCCGUAGGUGAACCUGCGGAAGGAUCAUUGUCGAAUCCUGCCCAGCAGAAUGACCAGAGAA
rnacentral:rRNA from 1 species